rnacentral:rRNA from 1 species
UACGUAGGGGGCAAGCGUUGUCCGGAUUUACUGGGCGUAAAGAGCGCGCAGGCGGUCGUACAAGUCGCGUGUGAAAGCCCCUGGCUCAACUGGGGAGGGUCACGCGAUACUGUUCGACUCGAAGGCAGGAGAGGGAAGUGGAAUUCCCGGUGUAGUGGUGAAAUGCGUAGAUAUCGCUUGGAACGCCGAAGGCGAAAGCAGGCUGCUGGGCACGAUCUGACGCUGAGACACGAAAGCCAGGGGAGCAAACGGG